CGCGGUAAUACGUAGGUGGCAAGCGUUGUCCGGAAUUACUGGGUGUAAAGGGAGCGUAGGCGGGAUGCCAAGUCAGCUGUGAAAACUAUGGGCUUAACCCGUAGACUGCAGUUGAAACUGGUAUUCUUGAGUGAAGUAGAGGUUGGCGGAAUUCCGAGUGUAGCGGUGAAAUGCGUAGAUAUUCGGAGGAACACCGGUGGCGAAGGCGGCCAACUGGGCUUUAACUGACGCUGAGGCUCGAAAGUGUGGGGAGCAAACAGGAUUAGAUACCCUGGUAGUCCACACUGUAAACGAUGAUAACUAGGUGUGGGGGGUCUGACCCCUUCCGUGCCGCAGCUAACGCAAUAAGUUAUCCACCUGGGGAGUACGACCGCAAGGUUGAAACUCAAAGGAAUUGACGGGGACCCGCACAAGCAGUGGAUUAUGUGGUUUAAUUCGAAGCAACGCGAAGAACCUUACCAGCACUUGACAUCCGACUAACGAAGUAGAGAUACAUUAGGUGCCCUUCGGGGAAAGUCGAGACAGGUGGUGCAUGGUUGUCGUCAGCUCGUGUCGUGAGAUGUUGGGUUAAGUCCCGCAACGAGCGCAACCCCUGCCAUUAGUUGCUACGCAAGAGCACUCUAAUGGGACCGCUACCGACAAGGUGGAGGAAGGUGGGGACGACGUCAAAUCAUCAUGCCCCUUAUGUGCUGGGCUACACACGUAAUACAAUGGCCAUCAACAAAGAGAAGCAAUACCGCGAGGUGGAGCAAAACUUCAAAAAUGGUCUCAGUUCGGACUGCAGGCUGCAACCCGCCUGCACGAAGUUGGAAUUGCUAGUAAUCGUGGAUCAGCAUGCCACGGUGAAUACGUUCCCGGGUCUUGUACACACCGCCCGUCACACCAUGGGAGUUGGUAACACCCGAAGUCAGUAGUCUAACCGCAAGGAGGACGCUGCCGAAGGUGGGAUUGACGACUGGGGUGAAGUCGUAACAAGGUAGCCGUAUCAGAAGGUGCGGCUG
rnacentral:rRNA from 1 species